GCAACGCCCCCGACUCCACGCAACGCCCCCAACUCCAUGUCCCGUCAAAAAAGUCCCCCAACUACAUGUCGGCCACCCCAAAUCCCGGCGGCGGCGGCCGCCGCCGGAAGUGGACGAGCGCCACACGGGCGCGCUGGGGCUCUACCUGCACCCGGACUGCCGGACAUCGACCUCAAGAAGCUGUGUUGGCUCAUCCUCAAGGCCAAGCUCGUGCCAUGCCUCUCAAUGGAUCGAUAGAUAGAGCGUCGCGGGUGGAGAGGCGGCCGGCCGGUGGAAGGGGCAGCCUCUCGAUUAUUGGUUCUCGGAGGUGCGACAAAGCCGAGGAAGAAGCCGGGCGCCUGAUUCCCCGCGGUUCGUGCUGUUCCUCUCCUCCAUGCCCCCUCUGCAACCUCUCCUCACCAUUCAUGGCCAUCGGAAGGACCGCAGGAGGCAGAGCAGGGCGGCUCGAGCCUGCGAUGAGCUUCUCGACUGGAGCUCGCCGUCGGUGGCGAGUGCGGGUGGCCAGCUCGCGCCGUCUCAACACUCUGCCUCUCCCUCACAUACGACUCGCGUCGUCGCUGCGUUCCCCAUUCUUUUCCCGUGCUUUUCGAUUGGCCCGGCGGUGAGCUGCAGUGCCGCUAGCUCAUCGGCGACGGCUACGACGCCAUCUGUGCCGUCCCUUGGUCCCUUCCCCCCGGCAGCAACCUUCUUGACGAACGACAGGCGACGGUAGAAAGAGCCAUUCCAUGACGAAUCUCUGAUGAGAGGGCAGCAAAAUGUGAUCAAUCAAUGGAGACAAAGUAUUUGUCCAAUUGUUUGCAAGGGUGGCUGUAUGAUCUCCGCAGAUUGGCCCUUCUUUGUUCUGCCGGUGGAGAUUCAGUGUAUCACUGCAAAUUCCUUACACCGGCAGUGUAUCAUAGCAAGUUCCUUACACUAGCAAAUUCUGUGUUUUUUGUAUUUUUGUCGAUGCAAGCCUGUUCUUCGACUAUAAAAGGAGCAGAGAUUUCUUUCUUGUCAAGUCUAAUCCUUUUUUGAUGCAUUGCAGAUUGCUAUCAAACUCUCAAAAAGGAAAAUCAGCUUUAUUCUAAUUUGGCAAAGCUUGGAGGAUAUUUUUACAGGUUCAACGCUUGCUUUAUUGCUUUCUUACCUUCCGUUCUUCAAGACAAUAUUUUCCUAGCAGUGCUCGAUAACUUUAAAUCCAUAUUUUUGUUCUUUGCAUUAUCAUAAAACGGUGUUGUUCUAUCUUUUUGUUUUUUGAUUGAUCAUCAGCAACGACAAUGCAACCUACAUGUCCUACUUUUACUACUGAGCUUACCAUCAGAACCACAGCCCAAUGAGAACAUUCUAAACUAACUGAAGAUGGCUUCCUUCCCUUUUAUGGUACAUGCUUGGGAAUACUAAUUAUAGCUGACAGAAAAUGUGCUUUUUUAGCAUGAAGAUAAGAUGAUGGGAAGGGAUGAUCUUCAUGAGCCUCAGUGGUACUAUCAUAUUAUCAUAACUGCUGCAAAGUUCAUAUAAUGAUCCCUGUUUCAGACUCAGAUCAAAGGAACAAGCUGAUCAAUACGUUUCAGCCAUGGAAUACUGCGUCAAGAUAAAAGAUCGAGUUGAGCAUACUGCGAUGUUUUGACAGGAGAUUCCGUUAGCUUUCAGACAAAGUAAUCCAGUAGAUAGGUCAACAGAUUUUGAAGGAACAACAAGCCUUCAAUGAACUCAGCCGGUAAUAGAAGUAGCAAUUCUCUCAACACAUGCUCCACAGCACGACGACGGCGAGCAUCCGGAGAAAUCAUCUGCAGUAAUACAUCCUAAAGAUUGGUGAUGGAGAUGCUACCCAGUGCAUGAGUGGAUUCAUAGCCAUGGACAUUCCUACUCCCUAUGGACCUAUCCGGUAAAAUUAUGCGCGGCUUAUGUUCUCAGUGUUGGAAAUAUGCCCUAGAGGCAAUAAUAAAAUGGUUAUUAUUAUAUUUCCUUGUUCAUGAUAAUUGUCUAUUAUUCAUGCUAUAAUUGUGUUAUCCGGAAA